rnacentral:rRNA from 1 species
UGGGGAAUUUUGGACAAUGGGGGCAACCCUGAUCCAGCCAUGCCGCGUGCGGGAAGAAGGCCUUCGGGUUGUAAACCGCUUUUGUUCGGGAAGAAAAGGCUGAGGCUAAUAUCCUUAGUUCUUGACGGUACCGGGAGAAUAAGCACCGGCUAACUACGUGCCAGCAGCCGCGGUAAUACGUAGGGUGCGAGCGUUAAUCGGAAUUACUGGGCGUAAAGCGUGCGCAGGCGGUAAGUUAAGUCUGAUGUGAAAGCCCCGGGCUCAACCUGGGAAUGGCAUUGGAAACUGGCUUGCUUGAGUGUGGCAGAGGGGGGUGGAAUUCCGCGUGUAGCAGUGAAAUGCGUAGAGAUGCGGAGGAACACCGAUGGCGAAGGCAGCCCCCUGGGCCAACACUGACGCUCAGGCACGAAAGCGUGGGGAGCAAACA